GCAUCUAAAUCAACCAUUUCUUCGAAUCCAAUAGCAAAUAUAUCAAUUGGUUUGGUUUCAUCUGUGGGUGAGGUAGAUAAGUCAACCAAGGCUAAAAGAAAGAAAAAUAAAUAAUUAGUUCAUCAGCCACAAAAUGAAAUAUUUGGUGCAGAAAAAAGAAAAACAAAAAUUUAGAAUGGAUGCAAAAAAACUGAAGAUAAAGAGAAAAAAGUUGAAUAACUUACCAUGCAUUUUUUCUGUUUUAUGAGCAUCAAGAAGCCAAUCUGAUAAGGAAACAUCUUUAUAUACAAUGCUCCUAAAAUGUUUUCCCCCAUUAAUAUUAUAGGUUCCAACAGCUACUCGGAGUGGUACAGGCUCGGUGUAUUCAUCGUAUCCCUUAAUCAAGUGAUUCAAGACAGACCUUGGUGCUACAAAAUAUUAAACAUGUAGAUAAUAGUCAAAAAUAUUCUGCAAGUUUUUACCUGUAACAUAUUGUGGUGGUAAUAGAACUCGGGCUUUAUCUGCUAUUUCACUAUUAAAUGAACUUCCAAAUAAUAAAACAUCUAUCGCUUCUU
rnacentral:lncRNA from 1 species